rnacentral:rRNA from 1 species
CCUACGGGUGGCAGCAGUGAGGAAUAUUGGUCAAUGGGCGCGAGCCUGAACCAGCCAAGUCGCGUGAAGGAAGACGGCUCUAUGGGUUGUAAACUUCUUUUGUACGGGAGCAAAUUGCGAAACGUGUAUCUUGUUGAAAGUACCCUACGAAUAAGCAUCGGCUAACUCCGUGCCAGCAGCCGCGGUAAUACGGAGGAUGCGAGCGUUAUCCGGAUUUAUUGGGUUUAAAGGGUGCGUAGGUGGUUAGAUAAGUUAGAGGUGAAAGUCUGGGGCUCAACUCCGGCACUGCCUGUGAAACUGGUGGGCUUGAGUGUAGUUGCGAGAAGCGGAAUGCGUGGUGUAGCGGUGAAAUGCAUAGAGAGCAUACAGAACACCGAUUGCGAAGGCAGCUUACCAAACUAUGACUGACGCUGAGGCAUGAAAGCGUGGGGAUCAAACAGGAUUAGAUACCCGUGUAGUC